rnacentral:rRNA from 1 species
AUGGGGGGACCAUCCUCCAAGGCUAAAUACUCCUGACUGACCGAUAGUGAACCAGUACCGUGAGGGAAAGGCGAAAAGAACCCCGGCGAGGGGAGUGAAAAAGAACCUGAAACCGUGUACGUACAAGCAGUGGGAGCCUCUUAAUGGGGUGACUGCGUACCUUUUGUAUAAUGGGUCAGCGACUUAUAUUCUGUAGCAAGGUUAACCGAAUAGGGGAGCCGAAGGGAAACCGAGUCUUAACUGGGCGUUAAGUUGCAGGGUAUAGACCCGAAACCCGGUGAUCUAGCCAUGGGCAGGUUGAAGGUUGGGUAACACUAACUGGAGGACCGAACCGACUAAUGUUGAAAAAUUAGCGGAUGACUUGUGGCUGGGGGUGAAAGGCCAAUCAAACCGGGAGAUAGCUGGUUCUCCCCGAAAGCUAUUUAGGUAGCGCCUCGUGAAUUCAUCUCCGGGGGUAGAGCACUGUUUCGGCAAGGGGGUCAUCCCGACUUACCAACCCGAUGCAAACUGCGAAUACCGGAGAAUGUUAUCACGGGAGACACACGGCGGGUGCUAACGUCCGUCGUGAAGAGGGAAACAACCCAGACCGCCAGCUAAGGUCCCAAAGUCAUGGUUAAGUGGGAAACGAUGUGGGAAGGCCCAGACAGCCAGGAUGUUGGCUUAGAAGCAGCCAUCAUUUAAAGAAAGCGUAAUAGCUCACUGGUCGAGUCGGCCUGCGCGGAAGAUGUAACGGGGCUAAACCAUGCACCGAAGCUGCGGCAGCGACACUAUGUGUUGUUGGGUAGGGGAGCGUUCUGUAAGCCUGUGAAGGUGGCCUGUGAGGGGUGCUGGAGGUAUCAGAAGUGCGAAUGCUGACAUAAGUAACGAUAAAGCGGGUGAAAAGCCCGCUCGCCGGAAGACCAAGGGUUCCUGUCCAACGUUAAUCGGGGCAGGGUGAGUCGACCCCUAAGGCGAGGCCGAAAGGCGUAGUCGAUGGGAAACAGGUUAAUAUUCCUGUACUUGGUGUUACUGCGAAGGGGGGACGGAGAAGGCUAUGUUGGCCGGGCGACGGUUGUCCCGGUUUAAGCGUGUAGGCUGGUUUUCCAGGCAAAUCCGGAAAACCAAGGCUGAGGCGUGAUGACGAGGCACUACGGUGCUGAAGUGACAAAUGCCCUGCUUCCAGGAAAAGCCUCUAAGCAUCAGGUAACAUCAAAUCGUACCCCAAACCGACACAGGUGGUCAGGUAGAGAAUACCAAGGCGCUUGAGAGAACUCGGGUGAAGGAACUAGGCAAAAUGGUGCCGUAACUUCGGGAGAAGGCACGCUGAUAUGUAGGUGAAGCGACUUGCUCGUGGAGCUGAAAUCAGUCGAAGAUACCAGCUGGCUGCAACUGUUUAUUAAAAACACAGCACUGUGCAAACACGAAAGUGGACGUAUACGGUGUGACGCCUGCCCGGUGCCGGAAGGUUAAUUGAUGGGGUUAGCGGUAACGCGAAGCUCUUGAUCGAAGCCCCGGUAAACGGCGGCCGUAACUAUAACGGUCCUAAGGUAGCGAAAUUCCUUGUCGGGUAAGUUCCGACCUGCACGAAUGGCGUAAUGAUGGCCAGGCUGUCUCCACCCGAGACUCAGUGAAAUUGAACUCGCUGUGAAGAUGCAGUGUACCCGCGGCAAGACGGAAAGACCCCGUGAACCUUUACUAUAGCUUGACACUGAACAUUGAGCCUUGAUGUGUAGGAUAGGUGGGAGGCUUUGAAGUGUGGACGCCAGUCUGCAUGGAGCCGACCUUGAAAUACCACCCUUUAAUGUUUGAUGUUCUAACGUUGGCCCGUAAUCCGGGUUGCGGACAGUGUCUGGUGGGUAGUUUGACUGGGGCGGUCUCCUCCUAAAGAGUAACGGAGGAGCACGAAGGUUGGCUAAUCCUGGUCGGACAUCAGGAGGUUAGUGCAAUGGCAUAAGCCAGCUUGACUGCGAGCGUGACGGCGCGAGCAGGUGCGAAAGCAGGUCAUAGUGAUCCGGUGGUUCUGAAUGGAAGGGCCAUCGCUCAACGGAUAAAAGGUACUCCGGGGAUAACAGGCUGAUACCGCCCAAGAGUUCAUAUCGACGGCGGUGUUUGGCACCUCGAUGUCGGCUCAUCACAUCCUGGGGCUGAAGUAGGUCCCAAGGGUAUGGCUGUUCGCCAUUUAAAGUGGUACGCGAGCUGGGUUUAGAACGUCGUGAGACAGUUCGGUCCCUAUCUGCCGUGGGCGCUGGAGAACUGAGGGGGGCUGCUCCUAGUACGAGAGGACCGGAGUGGACGCAUCACUGGUGUUCGGGUUGUCAUGCCAAUGGCACUGCCCGGUAGCUAAAUGCGGAAGAGAUAAGUGCUGAAAGCAUCUAAGCACGAAACUUGCCCCGAGAUGAGUUCU